rnacentral:rRNA from 1 species
CGAACGCUGGCGGCGUGCCUAAUACAUGCAAGUCGAGCGAAUCUUUUGGGAGCUUGCUCCCGAAAGAUUAGCGGCGGACGGGUGAGUAACACGUGGGCAACCUGCCUAUAAGACUGGGAUAACUUCGGGAAACCGGAGCUAAUACCGGAUACGUUCUUUUCUCGCAUGAGAGAAGAUGGAAAGACGGUCUCGGCUGUCACUUAUAGAUGGGCCCGCGGCGCAUUAGCUAGUUGGUGGGGUAAUGGCUCACCAAGGCGACGAUGCGUAGCCGACCUGAGAGGGUGAUCGGCCACACUGGGACUGAGACACGGCCCAGACUCCUACGGGAGGCAGCAGUAGGGAAUCUUCCGCAAUGGACGAAAGUCUGACGGAGCAACGCCGCGUGAACGAAGAAGGCCUUCGGGUCGUAAAGUUCUGUUGUUAGGGAAGAACAAGUACCAGAGUAACUGCUGGUACCUUGACGGUACCUAACCAGAAAGCCACGGCUAACUACGUGCCAGCAGCCGCGGUAAUACGUAGGUGGCAAGCGUUGUCCGGAAUUAUUGGGCGUAAAGCGCGCGCAGGUGGUUUCUUAAGUCUGAUGUGAAAGCCCACGGCUCAACCGUGGAGGGUCAUUGGAAACUGGGGAACUUGAGUGCAGAAGAGGAAAGUGGAAUUCCAAGUGUAGCGGUGAAAUGCGUAGAGAUUUGGAGGAACACCAGUGGCGAAGGCGACUUUCUGGUCUGUAACUGACACUGAGGCGCGAAAGCGUGGGGAGCAAACAGGAUUAGAUACCCUGGUAGUCCACGCCGUAAACGAUGAGUGCUAAGUGUUAGAGGGUUUCCGCCCUUUAGUGCUGCAGCUAACGCAUUAAGCACUCCGCCUGGGGAGUACGACCGCAAGGUUGAAACUCAAAGGAAUUGACGGGGGCCCGCACAAGCGGUGGAGCAUGUGGUUUAAUUNGAAGCAACGCGAAGAACCUUACCAGGUCUUGACAUCCUCUGACAAUCCUAGAGAUAGGACGUUCCCCUUCGGGGGACAGAGUGACAGGUGGUGCAUGGUUGUCGUCAGCUCGUGUCGUGAGAUGUUGGGUUAAGUCCCGCAACGAGCGCAACCCUUGAUCUUAGUUGCCAGCAUUCAGUUGGGCACUCUAAGGUGACUGCCGGUGACAAACCGGAGGAAGGUGGGGAUGACGUCAAAUCAUCAUGCCCCUUAUGACCUGGGCUACACACGUGCUACAAUGGAUGGUACAAAGGGCUGCAAACCUGCGAAGGUAAGCGAAUCCCAUAAAGCCAUUCUCAGUUCGGAUUGUAGGCUGCAACUCGCCUACAUGAAGCCGGAAUCGCUAGUAAUCGCGGAUCAGCAUGCCGCGGUGAAUACGUUCCCGGGCCUUGUACACACCGCCCGUCACACCACGAGAGUUUGUAACACCCGAAGUCGGUGAGGUAACCUUUAUGGAGCCAGCCGCCUAAGGUGGGACAGA